GAUGAACGCUGGCGGCGUGCCUAAUACAUGCAAGUCGAGCGAACGGACGAGAAGCUUGCUUCUCUGAUGUUAGCGGCGGACGGGUGAGUAACACGUGGAUAACCUACCUAUAAGACUGGGAUAACUUCGGGAAACCGGAGCUAUACCGGAUAAUAUUUUGAACCGCAUGGUUCAAAAGUGAAAGACGGUCUUGCUGUCACUUAUAGAUGGAUCCGCGCUGCAUUAGCUAGUUGGUAAGGUAACGGCUUACCAAGGCAACGAUGCAUAGCCGACCUGAGAGGGUGAUCGGCCACACUGGAACUGAGACACGGUCCAGGCUCCUACGGGAGGCAGCAGUAGGGAAUCUUCCGCAAUGGGCGAAAGCCUGACGGAGCAACGCCGCGUGAGUGAUGAAGGUCUUCGGAUCGUAAAACUCUGUUAUUAGGGAAGAACAUAUGUGUAAGUAACUGUGCACAUCUUGACGGUACCUAAUCAGAAAGCCACGGCUAACUACGUG
rnacentral:rRNA from 1 species